CCUACGGGCGGCAGCAGUGGGGAAUAUUGCACAAUGGGCGCAAGCCUGAUGCAGCCAUGCCGCGUGUGUGAAGAAGGCCUUCGGGUUGUAAAGCACUUUCAGCGGGGAGGAGGGCGGUGAGGUUAAUAACCUCAUCGAUUGACGUUACCCGCAGAAGAAGCACCGGCUAACUCCGUGCCAGCAGCCGCGGUAAUACGGAGGGUGCAAGCGUUAAUCGGAAUUACUGGGCGUAAAGCGCACGCAGGCGGUCUGUCAAGUCGGAUGUGAAAUCCCCGGGCUCAACCUGGGAACUGCAUUCGAAACUGGCAGGCUAGAGUCUUGUAGAGGGGGGUAGAAUUCCAGGUGUAGCGGUGAAAUGCGUAGAGAUCUGGAGGAAUACCGGUGGCGAAGGCGGCCCCCUGGACAAAGACUGACGCUCAGGUGCGAAAGCGUGGGGAGCAAACAGGAUUAGAUACCCUAGUAGUC
rnacentral:rRNA from 1 species